rnacentral:siRNA from 1 species
AGGUUUAUGAUCAUUGUGCGGAGC